rnacentral:rRNA from 1 species
AGAGUUUGAUCCUGGCUCAGAACGAACGCUGGCGGCGUGCUUAACACAUGCAAGUCUUACGAGAAAGCUCCCUUCGGGGGGUGAGUAAAGUGGCGCACGGGUGAGUAACGCGUGGGUAACCUGCCCCAGAGCUGGGGAUAACUCGCCGAAAGGCGUGCUAAUACCCGAUACGUUUCCUUCUUCCUCGGAAGUUGGAAAGAAAGAUGGCCUCUCGAAGAAGCUGUCGCUCAGGGAUGGGCCCGCGUACCAUUAGCUUGUUGGUAGGGUAAUGGCCUACCAAGGCUGCGAUGGUUAGCUGGUCUGAGAGGAUGAUCAGCCACACUGGAACUGAGACACGGUCCAGACUCCUACGGGAGGCAGCAGUGGGGAAUAUUGCGCAAUGGGGGAAACCCUGACGCAGCAACGCCGCGUGAGUGAA